rnacentral:rRNA from 1 species
UACAGAGGUCUCAAGCGUUGUCCGGAUUCAUUGGGCGUAAAGGGCGCGUAGGCGGCUAGAUGUGUCAAAGGUGAAAUCCCUCGGCUCAACUGAGGAACUGCCUUUGAAACUGUCUGGCUUGAGGCCGGGAGAGGGUAGCGGAAUUCCCAGUGUAGCGGUGAAAUGCGUAGAUAUUGGGAGGAACACCAGUGGCGAAGGCGGCUACCUGGACCGGUUCUGACGCUGAGGCGCGAAAGCGUGGGUAGCAAACAGG